GAUCGGUCCCCAGAGGCCGCCUCGGGGCUGUCCAUCACGUCGCCCCCUCCCUUCCUAUUUGUCCCCCGGCUCUUAGACCCGCCCCCUUCCGCUCAGCCCCUACCCCUUCCUAAUUGGCCCCCCUCGCCCCCACCGACCAUCUACACCUCUCUGCCCCUCCCGGCCUCGCUCUCCGAUUGGCUCCGGACCCCACCCCUCCUCGCCUCUUCCUCCCCCCCCCCCGACGCCCACCUUCCGUCCCCAUCCAGGUGGCCGAUUGGCCGUCGACGGCGGCGUCCUCCCUUCCGAUUGGUCGGAGCGCGGCGAAGGGGCGGGGGGAGUGGCGCGCGGUGGCGCGCAAGCGCGCGCGGAAGGGGCGGGGAGGGGGGGGGAAAGGUUAGGCCGAGCGCCGCGCGUGCGCGGUGGCGCAAAGACGGCCGCCGACUGAGGAGGUGGGGGGGGGGAGGGGCGGCGGGAGGUGUGAGAGGGCGUGAGGGAGACCCUCGUGAGGCGCCCGGUCGCGCCCGCCGCCCCCUCGCCGCCGCCUUCGGGGGUCCGGGCCCACCGCGCCCUCGCCCCCCGUCGAGGGGGGGGCGUCCCGCCGGGCGGGCGGGGGGAUGUGAGGGGGCCGCCGGUCCCGGGGCCCGCGCCAUGGAGACGGGCCCGGCGGCCCCCCCGCGCCGCCACGGCGCCUCGGCCGCCCCGUCCCCGCCCCCGCGGGCGUCCCGGGCGGGGCCCGUGCUGGUGGUGGCCCCCGGGCCCCCCGUGAGCACGGCCGCCUCGGCCCCCGUGCCCCUGGCCCGCCCCCGCCGAGGCCCGGCCGGUCCUUCCCCCCCUCCCCGGGGCGCCCCCCCCGCCCACGGUGGUGCUCCUCACCCUGAGGGCCGUCACGCCCGACCCUCCCGGAGCCCGGUGGGAAGGCGUGGCCGCCCCGUCGACGGACGAAGGCCUCCGCUCGACGCCCCGGCCUCGAAGGGGACGGCGCCGCCCGCCGGGACGCCCCGGGCUCGGCCGCGUCGCCUCCGCCCGCCGGACCCGACGGCAGGGUGA
rnacentral:lncRNA from 1 species